UUACACUGCUUUUGAGAGCGUAAAACAACUCAAUUUCUUUGAUUUUUUCGAUUUCCUUCAUCUACUUUCUGCCACCAUCAUCUCCAAAACCUUCACCACCCCCAGCCACCACUGCCUACCAGGCAGUCCUUAUAUGUGAAAUAAGAAUGCUAAUGAUUAAAAAUUCAACUUUUAGGGGUUCAAGGAGGUAAUUAUUGAUGGAGUUUCUGCCAUUUGGAAUCAACCCAUUUUUAAGAGAAAUUUUGCAGUUGCUGCUCAUCGGUGUUACCUGAGACAAGAAGGCGAUUAAGUUAAGAAUCUUAGUGGUGUCCACAUAUGUUGGAUACGAGGUUAAAAGAAAGUUGAUUAAAAAUAGAUAAAUUGGCGUGAAACCUGAAGUGAAGAAACAUGAAAGAAGAUUGGAGGCAGCUCAUCUGAAGCUCGUGCGUCGCGCGAGAGGCAGACGAGCUAAGGGAGCAAACCUUUAUCUAAAACAGUAAAUUGGCGACCAUCACACAGGACAACACGAGGCCAAGAGAAAAUGAAGAAGCACCUAGGAGUUCGUUCAAGGGGCGCUGCGAUGCGCGGUUACUGAAUGCAGCCCAUCGACUCUUGUCCGAUAUUAGAUUAGUUUGGACGACUUUUUAUCCAUUCUAGGUCAUAUAAAUACCCCAUAAAACGUCUUUUGAAGGGGGUAAUACAUCUUUAGAAGCAAGAAACGUACAUGAAGGAGAAGAACACGGGUUUAGUGAUUAGUUUAUAUUUUUCUUCUAUUCUUUCUUGUCGUUUAUAAUUUUUUACUAUUUUUGUGAACACCAUAUUAUGAGUGGCUAAGUACUCUAAUUCUGAGGUUGUGUUUGAUAUGA